CAGUCGCCACGGGAAUACGAAGGGUGCAAGCGUUAAUCGGAAUUACUGGGCGUAAAGCGUGCGUAGGCGGUUUCUUAAGUCUGCUGUGAAAUCCCCGGGCUCAACCUGGGAAUGGCAGUGGAUACUGGGAAGCUAGAGUGUGUCAGAGGAUGGCGGAAUUCCCGGUGUAGCGGUGAAAUGCGUAGAGAUCGGGAGGAACAUCAGUGGCGAAGGCGGCCAUCUGGGACAACACUGACGCUGAGGCACGAAAGCGUGGGGAGCAAACAGGAUUAGAUACCCCUGUAGUCCCUGUCUCUUAUAC
rnacentral:rRNA from 1 species